UACGUAGGGGGCAAGCGUUGUCCGGAAUCAUUGGGCGUAAAGCGCGUGUAGGCGGCUGAGUAAGUCUGCUCUGAAAGCCCGGGGCUCAACCCCGGGAGGCGGAUGGAUACUGCUUGGCUCGAGUCCGGAAGAGGCGAGUGGAAUUCCCGGUGUAGCGGUGAAAUGCGCAGAUAUCGGGAGGAACACCAAUGGCGAAGGCAGCUCGCUGGGACGGUACUGACGCUGAGACGCGAAAGCGUGGGGAGCAAACAGG
rnacentral:rRNA from 1 species